AGGGACUAUUUGUGUUGGGGGGAGGGAUUGGUGUGGAUUUUGGUGUUGCUGUGAAAAAAAUGUGAGCUUUAAUGUGCGGGUGGGCGGCCGGUGGAGGGUUAUAAGUAUUAGGAUCCUACAACUUUGCUCAGAGAAAACCUCGACUCCAAUGUAAUCCGAUCCUCCAAAGAAGUGGAGGAUGUGUUGGAACAGGAACAUCCGCACAGUGGAACGGUAGCGGUACAGAAUAACGUUAACGCACGUCGGAGGACCGAUACCUCCUCUAAUCGGCACAACACCAAGCCGUCUUGCCAGGAUCAGGAUUGCGGUUUGUCAUCGAGAAAUAACUGCAAUGGACCUCAGAAAAAGAACCAGAAUAAGGAAAUACUUGCUACAGCUGAUGAUGAAAAAGACAUAAGGAAAGUGGCAGAAAUGGCUAUGUGCGUGCGUUCUGGAGACUGUGAGGCAGGUUUGUGCUGUGUCCGCUAUUUAACUGGAAAAAGAUGUCAACGCAUCCCAAAGAAGGGAGAUGUCUGCCUUCUGCAAGAACACUCCAAAUUGAGGAGAAAUCUUGAGCGUUGCAACUGUGCACAAGGGCUAACCUGUCGUGCCCAGGCUACAAGCCCAAAAGGCCAAGGCAUCUGUGAACCCAGAUCGAGAAAAAACAUGAGGACGGCCAGACACUCGGGGAAGAGGAGGGUGGCUGAGAGGAUAUGUGGAUAAUUCAAGCCUUUCUUUUGAACAAGCCAUUUUACUUAAUAAACCAUUUGUAUACCA